UACGGGGGGAGCGAACGUUGUUCGGAAUCACUGGGCGUAAAGGGCGCGUAGGCGGCUUCGUAAGUGAGAUGUGAAAGCCCCUGGCUCAACCAGGGAAAUGCGUCUCAUACUGCGGGGCUUGAGUGCAGGAGAGGAUGGGGGAAUUCCCGGUGUAGCGGUGAAAUGCAUUGAUAUCGGGAGGAACACCAGUGGCGAAGGCGCCCAUCUGGCCUGUUACUGACGCUGAGGCGCGAAAGCCGGGGGAGCAAACAGGAUUAGAUACCCUGGUAGUCCCGGCCGUAAACGGUGGGCACUAGGUGUGGGGGGCAUCGACCCCUCCCGUGCCGAAGCUAACGCAUUAAGUGCCCCGCCUGGGGAGUACGACCGCAAGGUUGAAACUCAAAGGAAUUGACGGGGGCCCGCACAAGCGGUGGAGCAUGUGGUUUAAUUCGAUGCAACGCGAAGAACCUUACCUAGGCUUGACAUGCAAUGGACAGGUGUGGAAACACACCCUCCCUUCGGGGCCUGUGCACAGGUGCUGCAUGGCUGUCGUCAGCUCGUGUCGUGAGAUGUUGGGUUAAGUCCCGCAACGAGCGCAACCCUUGUCCUUAGUUGCUACCAUUCAGUUGAGCACUCUAAGGAGACUGCCGUCGAUAGGACGGAGGAAGGUGGGGAUGACGUCAAGUCCUCAUGGUCCUUACGCCUAGGGCUACACACGUGCUACAAUGGCCGGUACAGAGGGUCGCAAAGCCGCGAGGUAGAGCCAAUCCCACAAAACCGGUCUCAGUUCGGAUUGCAGUCUGCAACUCGACUGCAUGAAGUCGGAAUCGCUAGUAAUCGCUGAUCAGCAGGCAGCGGUGAAUAUGUUCCCGGGCCUUGUACACACCGCCCGUCAAGCCACGAAAGCUGGUAGUACCCGAAGUCGCUGCGCUAACCGUAAGGAAGCAGGCGCCUAAGGUAAGACCGGUGAUUGGGGCU
rnacentral:rRNA from 1 species